GUGUCAGCAGCCGCGGUAAUACAGAGGGUGCAAGCGUUAAUCGGAAUUACUGGGCGUAAAGCGCGCGUAGGUGGUUUGAUAAGUUGGAUGUGAAAGCCCUGGGCUCAACCUGGGAACUGCAUCCAAAACUGUCUGGCUAGAGUACGGUAGAGGGUGGUGGAAUUUCCUGUGUAGCGGUGAAAUGCGUAGAGAUCGGAAGGAACAUCAGUGGCGAAGGCGACACUCUGGUCUGACACUGACGCUGAGGUGCGAAAGCGUGGGUAGCAAACAGGAUUAGAAACCCUCGUAGUCC
rnacentral:rRNA from 1 species